rnacentral:rRNA from 1 species
GGUAGCUUGCUACCUGGCGGCGAGUGGCGGACGGGUGAGUAAUGCGUAGGAAUCUACCUUAAAGUUGGGGAUAACUCGGGGAAACUCGAGCUAAUACCGAAUAAGCACUACGGUGUAAAGCGGGGGAUCUUCGGACCUCGUGCUUUAAGAUGAGCCUACGUCGGAUUAGCUAGUUGGUGGGGUAAAGGCCUACCAAGGCAACGAUCCGUAGCUGGUCUGAGAGGACGAUCAGCCACACUGGGACUGAGACACGGCCCAGACUCCUACGGGAGGCAGCAGUGGGGAAUAUUGGACAAUGGGCGCAAGCCUGAUCCAGCAAUACCGCGUGUGUGAAGAAGGCCUUCGGGUUGUAAAGCACUUUCAGUAGGGAGGAAAAGUUAGUAGUUAAUAACUGCUAGCCAUGACGUUACCUACAGAAGAAGCACCGGCUAACUCUGUGCCAGCAGCCGCGGUAAUACAGAGGGUGCAAGCGUUAAUCGGAAUUACUGGGCGUAAAGCGCGCGUAGGCGGAUGCUUAAGUCGAUUGUGAAAGCCCCGGGCUCAACCUGGGAACUGCAGUCGAUACUGGGCAUCUAGAGUAUGGUAGAGGUAUGUGGAAUUCCCGGUGUAGCGGUGAAAUGCGUAGAGAUCGGGAGGAACACCAGUGGCGA